CCGCCAUUUUUGCUGCCUUCCUGGACGCCUCCAUGUUGCUUCCGGCGCGCCGUGACGCCACUUCCUCCCUCCCCAAUCCCCUCAGUGAUGGCGACGCGGGUCCGGGUCCCGCCCGGCGCCGCCCCGGAGCCGCUCCCGGUGCAGCUCCUGCCCUGCUGCGUCCAGCACGACGGGCCCGCGCCCGUGGCCGCCUUCCUGCGGGCCCGGCCCGGCUCCGGCGGCGAGCUCUGGGCCUCGUUCCGGGGGCGCCGCUUGGGGGGCCGGGAGCUGCCGCUGCCCCCCGGCUACUCGGGGGUCGUGCUGCGGGGGGGGGAGCCCGGAGACCCCCAGGCCGGGUGGGUGACGCUGACUGGGACCUUUGGGGCCAUCACGGACUGGGGGGGCGACGCUGCCCCCUCCCCCGGCCGGGGCCUGGCCCGGGCCCUGCAGUGGGCACCCCUCGCCCGGGCCGUGAGUCGGGGCUGGGGGCACAUUUGGGGGGGCUGGGGGCACAUUUGGGGGGUCUGGGGUCACAUUUUGGGGCUCUGGGGUCACAUUUGGGGGGGGUCUGGGGUCAUAUUUUGGGGCUCUGGGGUCACAUUUGGGGGGUC
rnacentral:lncRNA from 1 species